UGAAUUGUAGGGUAAUUGGCAACCCAUCAUUUUUUGGUAAUGGAAAUUAUCAGUUCGAGUCUGAUCAAUUCAA
rnacentral:tRNA from 1 species